GCAAGUCGAGCGAUAUAGCGGCGAACGGGUGAGUAACACGUUGGAACCUACCUCGAACUCAGGGAUAGCUCCCGGAAACGGGAAUUAAUACCGGAUAGUCCCGAAAGGGUAAAGAUUUUUCGGUUCGAGAGGGUCCUGCGGCCUAUCAGCUUGUUGGUAAGGUAAUAGCUUACCAAGGCUAUGACGGGUAUCUGGUGUGAGAGCAUGACC
rnacentral:rRNA from 1 species